GCCUGGGGAGUACGGGUGAGGUAACGGCUCACCAAGGCGACGACGGGUAACCGGCCUGAGAGGGUGACCGGUCACACUGGGACUGAGACACGGCCCAGACUCCUACGGGAGGCAGCAGUGGGGAAUAUUGCACAAUGGGCGCAAGCCUGAUGCAGCAACGCCGCGUGAGGGAUGACGGCCUUCGGGUUGUAAACCUCUUUUAGCAGGGAAGAAGCGAAAGUGACGGUACCUGCAGAAAAAGCACCGGCUAACUACGUGCCAGCAGCCGCGGUAAUACGUAGGGUGCAAGCGUUGUCCGGAAUUAUUGGGCGUAAAGAGCUCGUAGGCGGUUUGUCACGUCUGCUGUGAAAAUCCAAGGCUCAACCUUGGACUUGCAGUGGGUACGGGCAGGCUAGAGUGCGGUAGGGGAGAUGGGAAUUCCUGGUGUAGCGGUGAAAUGCGCAGAUAUUAGGAGGAACACCAGUGGCGAAGGCGCCGCUCUGGGCCGUAACUGACGCUGAGGAGCGAAAGCGUGGGUAGCAAACAGGAUUAGAUACCCUGGUAGUCCACGCCGCAAACGUUGGGCACUAGGUGUGGGUCUCAACCAACGAGAUCCGCGCCGUCGCUAACGCAUUAAGUGCCCCGCCUGGGGAGUACGG
rnacentral:rRNA from 1 species